UAUUUUGGCCAGGAGCUGAAGUUGGUUGUUUAGUAGUAGUAGUUUGAGUAGUGACCGAAGUAGUAGUCUGGUGUGUGGGUGCAAGAGUAGUUGGGGAAGAAUUAGGUGUGGUAAUUGGGGCAGCUGUGGUCUCUUGUGGAGCUGGGGAAGACGGUGGAGCUGGUGUAGUUGCAGAAGGUGUGGGUGGGGCAGCUGUGGUCUCUGGUGGAGCUGAGGAAGAUGGUGGAGCUGGUGUAGUUGCAGAAGGUGUGGGUGGGGCAGCUGUGGUGUCUUGUGGAGCUGGGGAAUUCACUGGUGCUAAUGUAGCUACAGAAGAGCUUGUGUUAACAUUUUCUCUUGAAGAUAUGGUGGUGGCAUUCUGGGGAAGAAAAGUCACAUUUGGAAGGGUAGUAAUUUUGGUGGCUGGUGAGGAUUUGGGAAUUUGGGGGGGUUAUUAGGUGAAGGUGGAAGCUUAGGCCUACAGCGUUUGUGCAG
rnacentral:lncRNA from 1 species